GAUGAACGCUAGCUACAGGCUUAACACAUGCAAGUCGAGGGAACGGCGCACGGGUGAGUAACACGUAUCAAACCGGCCCUUUACGCGCGGAUAGACUUUCGAAAGAAAGAUUAAUACCCGAUGUAAAGGAUGGGGAUGGGGUCAAUUAGGUUGUUGGUGAGGUACCGGCUAAACAAGGCUUCGAUGGAUAGGGGUUCUGAGAGGAAGGUCCCCCAAAUUGUAAAUGAGACACGGUCCAAACUCCUACGGGAGGCAGCAGUGAGGAAGAUUGGUCAAUGGGCGUUAGCCUGAACCAGCCAAGUAGCGUGAAGGAUGAAGGCUUAUGGGUCGUAAACUUCUUUUAUAUAAGAAUAUGUAUUAUAUGAAUAAGGAUCGGCUAACUCCGUGCCAGCAGCCGCGGUAAUAC
rnacentral:rRNA from 1 species